UUGGGCUCGGGCUUUGGUUCAGGUUUUGGCAUAGGCUCGGGCUUGGGCUCUGGCUUUGGUUCAGGUUUUGGCAUAGGCUCGGGCUUGGGCUCAGGCUUAGGCUCAGGUUUGGGCAUCGGGUAAGGCUUGGGCUCAGGUUUUGGUUCGGGCUUUGGCAUCGGCUCCGGCUUCGGUUCCGGUUUGGGCUCUGGCUUUGGCAUGGGCUCAGGUUUGGGCAUAGGCUUAGGCUCUGGCUUUGGCAUGGGUUCAGGCUUAGGCUCUGGCUUUGGCAUGGGUUCAGGCUUAGGCAUUGGCUCUGGCUUGGGUUCCGGCUUGGGCUCCGGGUACGGCGUCGGCUUGGGCUCCGGCUCCGGGAGCUUCUCAGCGAGGCCACGGCCAGC
rnacentral:lncRNA from 1 species